GACGAACGCUGGCGGCGUGCCUAAUACAUGCAAGUCGAACGCAUUUUCUUUCACCGUAGCUUGCUACACCGAAAGAAAAUGAGUGGCGAACGGGUGAGUAACACGUGGGUAACCUGCCCAUCAGCGGGGGAUAACACUUGGAAACAGGUGCUAAUACCGCAUAAUUCCAUUUACCGCAUGGUAGAUGGGUGAAAGGCGCUUUUGCGUCACUGAUGGAUGGACCCGCGGUGCAUUAGCUAGUUGGUGGGGUAACGGCCUACCAAGGCUGCGAUGCAUAGCCGACCUGAGAGGGUGAUCGGCCACACUGGGACUGAGACACGGCCCAGACUCCUACGGGAGGCAGCAGGAGGGCAUCUUCGGCAAUGGACGCAAGUCUGACCGAGCAACGCCGCGUGAGUGAAGAAGGUUUUCGGAUCGUAAAACUCUGUUGUUAGAGAAGAACAAGGAUGAGGGUGGAAAGUUCAUCCCUUGACGGUAUCUAACCAGAAAGCCACGGCUAACUACGUG
rnacentral:rRNA from 1 species